UACGGAGGGUGGCAAACGUUGCUCGGAAUCAUUGGGCGUAAAGCGCACGUAGGCGGCCCAGCAAGUCGGGUGUGAAAGCCCUCGGCUCAACCGAGGAAGUGCAUUCGAAACUAUUGGGCUUGAAUACUGGAGAGGAUCGCGGAAUUCCCGGUGUAGAGGUGAAAAUUCGUAGAUAUCGGGAGGAACACCAGUGGCGAAGGGCGGACGAUCUGGACAGAUAUUGACGCUGAGGUGCGAAAGCGAUGGGGAGCAAACAGGG
rnacentral:rRNA from 1 species